ACAUUAUAUCCAUCAUGUGUAGGCAUAAUGACCAAACUAUAGUAAAAUGAAUUAAGAGUCUUUAUAAUGAAUUUAAUCUCAUGAAGAUGAUGUAAAAAUUAUUAGGUAGAUGAAAAAUUGAAAACAUAUGGGGCUCAUCUCUCUGCUCCCUGGAUUAAUUUUGAAUGUCCCAGGAGCUCCACUUAGUUGCUAACCCCACUUCUAUUUUCCUAUUAGAUUCUCAGAAUGAACACAGACUUCCUUAAAGCAACAUGUCCAGGCUGACUUCAGUCCUUCAUGUAGAAGACUCUCCCUGGUCUGAGAAGAGCAACUGUAUUUGAAUUUGCAAUAAAAGAGCUUCCUAUGUAGUUUCAACGAAAAUGAACUACUGGAUUAUCCUGGAGCCAAGGCAAUUACAGGAAAGUAGGUACUGGUGACAGACAGAGAGUCUACUGGGACCCAAUCAGUAUUCUGAGUUGGUGGUGAUCAGAAAACCUGAAAGAGCAUUGGAAGGAAGAAGAAGGCCAAGUUGAACUCAUCAACUCACUUCACUCACCAAUGUAAGAUUUAAUAGAUUGUCCUCAUCAUUACUGUCUAAUCAUUAUUAUAAAUCUAUGCUAUUUUAUGCUUUAGUUUUUAGUAGACGAUCAUAAUCUAUCAGCUUAAAACUAAACAUACCCAACUUCAAGUACUGGAUACAUUUCUCACCAGGUCAGCAAUUUUGUCAAGACUUCUUAAGGUUUCUAGACGCCAGUCUCAUUUUAAACCUGAGUAUUAACACCUUUCUUGUGAAACACUAGAAGACACAAUUUGAUCUGUUUCACAGUAGACUUGGGCACAUACCUUUCAUUCUUUUUGGUCUUUUCAGGGAUCAGGUGCUGAAGGCUACCAGUUAAAUGUCACUUAAGGCCUCCCUGUUCUGCGAGAACAAGGGUUGUAUGAACUUGGAAGCUGGAAUGAACCUCAACAUAACCAGAACAAACCAGACACACCAAAGACUCAUUAUUACAAAUAAUCCCUUGAGGUACAGAGAGCUAAUUGAAAAGUAUUUUUAUUAAAUGAUUUCAUGCAUUGAAAUUUCACCAAUUAUCAGAUAUCAAAAUGCAAAAUUAUGUAGUAUAAAGGUGAUAUAACAGUUAAUAGUAGUGUUUAAUUUGGUUUUGUGUGCCGAAACAAUUUUAAACUUUGAACUGGCUUAGAAAGUAAAAAAAUAGACUCACUAUAAAUACUGAUCUUAAGAUAAUGCUUGAUAGACAACUAAAAAGUCAAGACCCUGCCUGGCAU
rnacentral:lncRNA from 1 species